rnacentral:rRNA from 1 species
ACGUAGGCGGCAAGCGUUGUCCGGAAUUAUUGGGCGUAAAGGGAGCGCAGGCGGGAAACUAAGCGGAUCUUAAAAGUGCGGGGCUCAACCCCGUGAUGGGGUCCGAACUGGUUUUCUUGAGUGCAGGAGAGGAAAGCGGAAUUCCCAGUGUAGCGGUGAAAUGCGUAGAUCUUGGGAAGAACACCAGUGGCGAAGGCGGCUUUCUGGCCUGUAACUGACGCUGAGGCUCGAAAGCUAGGGUAGCGAACGC